UAUUGGGCGUAAAGAGCUCGUAGGCGGUUUGUCGCGUCUGCUGUGAAAGCCCGGGGCUUAACCCCGGGUGUGCAGUGGGUACGGGCAGACUUGAGUGCAGUAGGGGAGACUGGAAUUCCUGGUGUAGCGGUGAAAUGCGCAGAUAUCAGGAGGAACACCGAUGGCGAAGGCAGGUCUCUGGGCUGUUACUGACGCUGAGGAGCGAAAGCAUGGGGAGCGAACAGGAUUAGAUACCCUGGUAGUCCAUGCCGUAAACGUUGGGCACUAGGUGUGGGGAACAUUCCACGUUUUCCGCGCCGUAGCUAACGCAUUAAGUGCCCCGCCUGGGGAGUACGGCCGCAAGGCUAAAACUCAAAGGAAUUGACGGGGGCCCGCACAAGCGGCGGAGCAUGCGGAUUAAUUCGAUGCAACGCGAAGAACCUUACCAAGGCUUGACAUACACCGGACCGGGCCAGAGAUGGUCUUUCCCCCUUGUGGGGCUGGUGUACAGGUGGUGCAUGGUUGUCGUCAGCUCGUGUCGUGAGAUGUUGGGUUAAGUCCCGCAACGAGCGCAACCCUCGUUCUAUGUUGCCAGCACGUGAUGGUGGGGACUCAUAGGAGACUGCCGGGGUCAACUCGGAGGAAGGUGAGGAUGACGUCAAAUCAUCAUGCCCCUUAUGUCUUGGGCUUCACGCAUGCUACAAUGGCCAGUACAAUGGGUUGCGAUGCCGCGAGGUGGAGCUAAUCCCAAAAAGCUGGUCUCAGUUCGGAUCGUGGUCUGCAACUCGACCACGUGAAGUCGGAGUCGCUAGUAAUCGCAGAUCAGCAACGCUGCGGUGAAUACGUUCCCGGGCCUUGUACACACCGCCCGUCAAGUCACGAAAGUUGGUAACACCCGAAGCCGGUGGGCCUAACCCUUGUGGGGGGAGCCGUCGAAGGUGGGACUGGCGAUUACUAUCUAGGGAGUAGGGGGUUUGUCGGGGUAGCUCGGGAGAUAAAGACACGCGCUGGAUGAUGUCGGGUAC
rnacentral:rRNA from 1 species